rnacentral:lncRNA from 1 species
CUUUCUUUUUCUCUCUUCCAUUAAAUGCUAUGGAUUUUUAUUACUUGUUGCUCUAAAUAUAAAAUGGUUCUUAUCAAGUUAACAUGUACAUUGGUGAAGAAUGGAGAAUCUAAAAAUAACAAAAUUUAAGUAUAGCAAAAUAAAAUGACUAAAUAUCAAGUCUAUUGAUACAGGUACUCGACUCAGUUGUAAUUGAUCAUAAGUCUAACAGGGUCAAGAGGAGGUAACCCCUCAUACAUGAAGUUUCUUUAUUUUUUAUUUUAUGGCAAAAUUGCUUAACAAAUUUUAAUUUGGUGGACAAAAUUACAAUUUUUUAGAAGCAUCCCCCCCGCCCUACCCUCUUUAAUUUUUAUUUUAUUUAAUGCAUAAAAUAACAAGCCCCCUAUUAAUAUACGGUAAAAUGGGAUAAAAUCAACUGGGUUAUCAGAAUUUGUGAUUAUCUCCCCUUAUUAAAAAGAACUUAUGCCAGUGUACAGGAAAUAUUUCGCCAAAAGGAGGGCCUUCAAUACAAUUUGAAGCAGUAAGCUGAAAUCUAAAAGUAGGCGGCUUUUUGACAUGCGGACAUACUAACUUGCUGCCUUCACGUCAUGGGGUCUGGGGGUAAAUAGAGCAAAAUCUUGCAUUCUUGCAAUCUCCGUGCAUCUAUCUUUCAAAUUACAUUUUUUUAUGAUGAAAUUAAGGAAGUUCGCUUGUCAUGUUUUGGGAUAUUUGUCAGAUUUUAAGAAUCCUCUGGUUUUAUUCAUUUGAAUGUCUUGAAAACAUUUGCCCAUUGACCCCCAUUUUUCUAUUUAUAAAUCUUUUACAUGAAUAAUGAUAAGCCAUCUGUAAAAGUCUUAUUAAAUUUUAAUUAUUUUUUAAUAGUUUUUGAGAACUUAAACUUGUCAAUGAUAAAGCUAUGAUAAGUCAAGAGAGAAUAUUUUUUCCGCC